UGGGGAAUUUUCGGCAAUGCGCGCAAGCGUGACCGAGCGAUGCCGCGUGCGGGAUGAAGGCCUUCGGGUUGUAAACCGCGAAAGUUGGGAGGAAAGGCCUGUGCAGAGCAGGUCUUGACCAAUCUUCAGUAAGGACGGGCUAAGUUCGUGCCAGCAGCCGCGGUAAUACGAACCGUCCAAACGUUAUUCGGAAUCAUUGGGCUUAAAGGGUGCGUAGGCGGCGCGUUAAGUCGGGUGUGAAAUCCCUCAGCUCAACUGAGGAACUGCGCCCGAUACUGGCGUGCUCGAGGGAGACAGGGGUAAGCGGAACUGAUGGUGGAGCGGUGAAAUGCGUUGAUAUCAUCAGGAACACCGGUGGCGAAAGCGGCUUACUGGGCCUCUUCUGACGCUGAGGCACGAAAGCUAGGGUAGCGAACGGGAUUAGAUACCCCCGUAGUCC
rnacentral:rRNA from 1 species